rnacentral:rRNA from 1 species
UUAAACGGUAGGGUAUUGGCCUACCGUGGCAAUGACGGGUAACGGGGAAUUAGGGUUCGAUUCCGGAGAGGGAGCCUGAGAAACGGCUACCACAUCUAAGGAAGGCAGCAGGCGCGCAAAUUACCCAAUCCUAAUACAGGGAGGUAGUGACAAGAAAUAACAAUACAGGACUUUUUGGUUUUGUAAUUGGAAUGAGUUAAGUCC